UACGUAGGGAGCAAGCGUUGUCCGGAAUCAUUGGGCGUAAAGCGCGCGUAGGGGGCCCUGUAAGUCCGCUGUGAAAGUCAAAGGCUCAACCUUUGAAAGCCGGUGGAUACUGUAGGGCUAGAGUACGGAAGAGGCGAGUGGAAUUCCUGGUGUAGCGGUGGAAUGCGUAGAGAUCGGGAAGAACACCAGUGGCGAAGGCGGUCUGCUGGGCCGUUGCUGACGCUGAGGCGCGACAGCGUGGGGAGCAAACAGG
rnacentral:rRNA from 1 species